rnacentral:siRNA from 1 species
ACCUCUACAUUCAAAGCCGAUUCC